AUUGAACGCUGGCGGCAUGCCUUACACAUGCAAGUCGAACGGUAACAGGUCUUCGGAUGCUGACGAGUGGCGAACGGGUGAGUAAUACAUCGGAACGUGCCCGAGAGUGGGGGAUAACGAGGCGAAAGCUUUGCUAAUACCGCAUACGAUCUCAGGAUGAAAGCAGGGGACCGCAAGGCCUUGCGCUCACGGAGCGGCCGAUGGCAGAUUAGGUAGUUGGUGGGAUAAAAGCUUACCAAGCCGACGAUCUGUAGCUGGUCUGAGAGGACGACCAGACACACUGGGACUGAGACACGGCCCGGACUCCUACGGGAGGCAGCAGUGGGGAAUUUUGGACAAGGGGCGCAAGCCUGAUCCAGCCAUGCCGCGUGCAGGAUGAAGGCCUUCGGGUUGUAAACUGCUUUUGUACGGAACGAAAAGACUCUGGUUAAUACCUGGGGUCCAUGACGGUACCGUAAGAAUAAGCACCGGCUAACUACGUGCCAGCCGCCGCGGUAAUAC
rnacentral:rRNA from 1 species